GGGGCUGAGGGGAGCGCCAGCUUCAGGAGCUUGCGGACUGAGAAAGUUCCAGAAUCGAGACAGAGCUGGGAAAGUCGCUAUUGUCUUCUAACUGUGACGUCGGCCGAGUCGCGGCGGAAACCGAGAACCUCGGCGAGGCCUGCGUGCGCGCCUGGAAGGUCUGAAGCCGCUCUGUCUAGAAAUGCGGAUUGCGACUGACUUUGCAGCGCGCCGCAGUUGCUGUGUGAAAGUUGGGGUGAGCCAAGAUGGAUGCUCGGUGUAAUAUGUUGGUUCUCAGACAGCCAUGCGCUGGAGAACAAGAUGCCUGAUGAAGUCAUUUGUGAAACCUCCAUGCACUGGGUGAGACAUAGUGCUUCAAGGAAGAUAUUUUCUAAGACGACACACCAGAAGAGGGCAUCGGAUCCCAUCACAGAUGAUUGUGAGCCACCAUGUGGUUGCUGGGAAUUGAACUCCAGGACCUCUGGAAGACCAGUCAGUGUUCUUAACCGCUGAGCCAUCUCUCCAGCCCUGGGAGUCUUACUUCUAUUUACCACAGACAGAAAAGGCACCAUGCAGGAAGAGCUACAGUGGGCAAGAGAGCUCCAUGGAGAGGCCCACUGCCUUACUCUGCUGCAGUGGGUGUGCUCUGGUGAGGUGGGGCCCCAAAGACCUCAUCCCAGGACUGCUUCUUGCUGCUGCUGUCUGCACUGCCACACUCCUCAUUUAUUUGGCUUGGUGUGAGUGGACACCAGGAGACCCUCACUGCCUAUAGCAUGGUGUGAUUACUUCCUUGGCUAGCCUAGACCUCACUGUGUAGUGAGGCUGGCCUCAAACUCACAGACAUCUGCCUGCUUCUGCCUGACUCCUUGUCCUGUUUCUAAAUAAGAAGACUUCAUUUAAAUUGACAAGCCAGUGACAUACAUCGAAUGGACCACCUGUCCAUCCUGACCUUUUCUUCUCAACAAAGACUUUACUUUUAGUUAAGGAUUCUGAGGGAAGUUAAAAGAGAGAAAAAACAAUCCACAGAAUAUAAAUACAAAAGUAAAGAGAAGAAAAUCUGUACAGAACAACUAUGAAAACAAGAGAAAACAGUUAAUAAAAGUGCAGUGGCAAAGCCU
rnacentral:lncRNA from 1 species